rnacentral:rRNA from 1 species
UAACACAUGCAAGUCGAACGGGAAAUACUUUAUUGAAACUUUGGUGGAUUUAAUUUAUUUCUAGUGGCGGACGGGUGAGUAACGCGUGGGUAACCUGCCUUAUACCGGGGGAUAACAGCCAGAAAUGACUGCUAAUACCGCAUAAGCGCACAGAACCGCAUGGUUCCGUGUGAAAAACUCCGGUGGUAUAAGAUGGACCCGCGUUGGAUUAGCUAGUUGGCAGGGCAGCGGCCUACCAAGGCGACGAUCCAUAGCCGGCCUGAGAGGGUGAACGGCCACAUUGGGACUGAGACACGGCCCAGACUCCUACGGGAGGCAGCAGUGGGGAAUAUUGCACAAUGGGGGAAACCCUGAUGCAGCGACGCCGCGUGAAGGAAGAAGUAUCUCGGUAUGUAAACUUCUAUCAGCAGGGAAGAUAAUGACGGUACCUGACUAAGAAGCCCCGGCUAACUACGUGCCAGCAGCCGCGGUAAUACGUAGGGGGCAAGCGUUAUCCGGAUUUACUGGGUGUAAAGGGAGCGUAGACGGCGCAGCAAGUCUGAUGUGAAAGGCAGGGGCUUAACCCCUGGACUGCAUUGGAAACUGCUGUGCUUGAGUGCCGGAGGGGUAAGCGGAAUUCCUAGUGUAGCGGUGAAAUGCGUAGAUAUUAGGAGGAACACCAGUGGCGAAGGCGGCU